UUGAAAUAAAUCAUUUUACUUUAUGUAAUUCGCUUUAGUGACCAUUUUAGUCGGCUUUAGUAUUUUCUGAAAAAAAAAUAGUUGAAACACUAAUUUUAAAAAGUAGACCAAAUUAAAACUCAACCACCCAAAAGAAAACCAAUCCAUUAUUAACAAAUAGAGUGACGAUAAAAAAAAAAAUCCAUUGAUGACUAUUCUGAACAUUUGUUCUUAUUUAUUUUUUCGUGCGGAUUAAUUAGAGGUUUCUUACUUCAUCAGAAUUGAUAAGGAGAUUAAUAGCCUGUUCGGCUUAUUUGAAACAUUUUUUGAUGGACAAUUAUACAAUGUAAUUUUUGUAAAAAAAUUAGGGCAUUAGUCCAAUUGUAUUAGUCUGUAAUAUUGGACUAGUAUAUCUGUAAUUUGAAGUAUAGUCCUAGUUAUUUUAUGAUUAACUAUUAAAACUUUGA